CCUACGGGAGGCAGCAGUGAGGAAUAUUGGUCAAUGGACGAGAGUCUGAACCAGCCAAGUAGCGUGAAGGAUGACUGCCCUAUGGGUUGUAAACUUCUUUUAUAGGGGAAUAAAGGUAUCCACGUGUGGAUAUUUGCAUGUACCCUAUGAAUAAGCAUCGGCUAACUCCGUGCCAGCAGCCGCGGUAAUACGGAGGAUCCGAGCGUUAUCCGGAUUUAUUGGGUUUAAAGGGAGCGUAGAUGGGUUGUUAAGUCAGUUGUGAAAGUUUGCGGCUCAACCGUAAAAUUGAAAUUGAUACUGGCAGUCUUGAGUACAGUUGAGGUAGGCGGAAUUCGUGGUGUAGCGGUGAAAUGCUUAGAUAUCACGAAGAACUCCGAUUGCGAAGGCAGCUUACUAAACUGCCACUGACAUUGAUGCUCGAAAGUGUGGGUAUCAAACAGGAUUAGAUACCCCAGUAGUC
rnacentral:rRNA from 1 species